ACAGACAGCCAGGAUGUUGGCUUAGAAGCAGCCAUCAUUUAAAGAAAGCGUAAUAGCUCACUGGUCGAGUCGGCCUGCGCGGAAGAUGUAACGGGGCUAAACCAUGCACCGAAGCUGCGGCAGCGACGUUUAUGCGUUGUUGGGUAGGGGAGCGUUCUGUAAGCCUGCGAAGGUGGCCUGUGAGGGUUGCUGGAGGUAUCAGAAGUGCGAAUGCUGACAUAAGUAACGAUAAAGCGGGUGAAAAGCCCGCUCGCCGGAAGACCAAGGGUUCCUGUCCAACGUUAAUCGGGGCAGGGUGAGUCGACCCCUAAGGC
rnacentral:rRNA from 1 species